CCAUCAAAACAAUAUAACAUUCUCUCUUCACUUGAACCUUAGUUCCAAUCUCGAUGGCCUCCUUCAACAUCAACCGUGCCCUCUUAAUUAGCCUCUUGGUUGCUGUUUUCGCAUUCAUGGCCGCUCCUUCCUCUGUUGAAGCUCGGAUUCCAGGCCUUCGAAAUGUGAUAAUACUGCCUAGACGACUCAAUAUCACUGGGACUGUGUAUUGUACUCGCAAAGUCAAACUUACCGCCAAUGGCACUGUCCCUUCGUACCUCCCACCAUUCCGCAAGGCGACAGUGAUAUUGCGGUGCGAUAAUACAGAUUUGGCGAAUGCAAUCACAAAUUCCUCCGGGAAAUUCAGCAUCGUCUCCGAGGCUAGAUACAUCAUCAGUCCGGUCUAUUUUUAUGUCGGGGCUGGCGUUGGCAAAUGUCAACUCAUAGUUAAAGAACCUCUGGCUUACUGCGACUUCACCCUCCCGAUUCGUCAACUCGUGGCUAAUAUAUCAGCUCCUCCAGGUCCUCUUUAUCCUGUCCCUGGCGGUAUCCUCAAACCUGUCAUUAGUAAUUUCUUCCUGCCGCCUGAAGCAUAAUAAACAUAUGCACAUGCAGCGCCCUCUGAUGCUAAUAUGUUAUGAAUAAUAAACUACAAAUAAAGCUUAUUGUAUUGACUGAUGCAUGUAGCAUUCAAUCAAACAUAAGCAAUUUCCCAUUCCUGUAUGUGUGUUUUUAAGGAGAGAUCACCACAGAAUCAAGUGUGGGAUACUCUCAAGGGCCAGGAGAGAUUUAUAUAUACCUCCUUUGUGUAAUAAUAAUAAAGGUCCCUGCAAUUAUAUACAAGCUAGGUUAUGCCGUGCAAAGCGUUGCCUAUUUAUC